rnacentral:sRNA from 1 species
GAUCUGGGAACCCAUGUCCAUCUUGGAGGACACCACCGCCCUCGACAUCUACAAGUCCUCACUCACCCCGGUAGGGGGGGAUAAUGUGAUGGGUUAGUAUCUGUUAGUAAUUAACUUACACAACCAACUCUCCUCCUGCACCCACUUGUUUCUGACUGUUGUGACUUUGUGUAACCCUCAAUGUUCUUCCACUCUGUGCUCUGUGCUUGUGUAGUUUCUAAUGAUUCUUCUAUGUAGCUCUUAAUGUUCUUCCACUCUGUGCUCUGCACUUAUAUAGUCUCUAAUGAUUCUUCUGUGUAGCUUCUUAUGUUCCCCUGCUCUGUGUUCCACACUUGUAUAGUCUCUAACAAUUCUUCCACGUAGCUCUCAAUGAUUCCCCCACCCCACAUUCCACACUUGUGUAACUUCUAACAAUUCUUAUGCAUACCCCUUAAUGUUCUUCCACUCUGCGCUCCACUGUGGAGUGGCUUCUGAUAUUCUUCUGCUCUGAACUUUCCCCUAUAAGAACCCCCUUCAUAUGACCUUUUCUUCUGAUUUCUUUUCUCUUUCUUUCCUUAAUCAAUUUGUAAUCUGUAAUUAGGAUAGUACCAAAUUGUUAAUCGAAGUACGCCUGUUACACUGUCUUUCUCAGAAGAGCAAGAAGAUAAUCUGUGUAUAUUAACUAUAU